rnacentral:rRNA from 1 species
AUCUACGGCCAUGUCACCCUGAACGUGCCGGAUGCCGUCUGAUCUCGGAAGCUAAGCAAGGUCGGGCCUGGUUAGUACUUGGAUGAGAGACCACCUAGGAAUACCAGGCGCUGUAGGCA